rnacentral:tRNA from 1 species
GCUGGCGUAGCUCAGUUGGUAGAGCAACUGAUUUGUAAUCAGUAGGUCGCGGGUUCGAAUCCCAUCGCCAGCU